GUCAGGAUGGCCGAGUGGUCUAAGGCGCCAGACUCAAGUUCUGGUCUCCAUAUGGAGGCGUGGGUUUAAAUCCCACUUCUGACA
rnacentral:tRNA from 1 species